UACAGAGGGGGCAAGCGUUAUUCGGAAUUACUGGGCGUAAAGGGCGCGUAGGCGGCUUUGCAAGUGACGGGUGAAAUCCCUCGGCUUAACCGGGGAACUGCAUCUGAUACUGGAUGGCUUGAGUUCGGGAGAGGGAUGCGGAAUUCCAGGUGUAGCGGUGAAAUGCGUAGAUAUCUGGAGGAACACCGGUGGCGAAGGCGGCAUCCUGGACCGACACUGACGCUGAGGAGCGAAAGCCAGGGGAGCAAACGGG
rnacentral:rRNA from 1 species